AUUGAGGUAUAUGUAACCAAGGAAGAGAUGGCUACUGAAAUUGUUAAAGAAACCUUAGAUGGUCAUCAUAAUGCUAGAGUGAAGCAGAACUACGGAAGGAAAUCUUUAGCUGAUAUUGUUGCUGAAAAUGAAGCUCUGCGUGCUAUCAUUGGUGACCAAGAGGCAUCCAUUGCCGAGCUUGAGAAAUUAGUAGAGAAGCUACAAAUGUUUGCUGCACAAAAGAGGCAACAGUCUGCUGAUGUUGGGAACUGUUAUUCAAAUAAAGAUUAUGACAUGGUAGUUGAUGGUUUUGGGACCACUAAUUCAGAGGAAGAUUAUGAGGUAUUACUUUCAUCUGUUGGGAAGUCAAAUUCUAAGAAAGAAUUACAAAUGCAAGGUGAUGAUGUUGAGAAGUCGAAUUUUGAGAAGGUUUUUGACAUUACACCUGAUGCUGAUGGAAAAAGUGUCCAUGAAGAGAGUGGUGAUGUUUUAGGUAAUGAAUAGAUGGAUAUUGAAAAAUCUAACAUGUACACGCGUUUAAAAGCUCAACCUAGGAAGCGUGUGAAAAGUCUAGCUUUGAAAACCCCUUGGACAAGGUUAGAUAGGAAAAAUGCCAGGCACUAAUCAAAUAAAGGGUAGGUGCGUUUCAUGGUUAAGCACUCACAUCUAUCCAUGGUUUCAGAUGAAGUCAGUAGUAUGCCUUAGGAUGGAGGGGUGGAAGCUGGUAUGCAACUAAGAAGUUCAGAAAGGAGCAAAUGAAAAUGCUAGGACAGAUUACACCUAGAAGAUGGCAAUUUCUUGGGAAGAUAAAACCUAAAGGGUUGCAAUUCCAAUUCCUUAGAAGGAACCUUACAAAACUCAAAUUAUCUGAUAGUGCCAUGAAAACAUCUAAGUCAAGUAUAAAGGAUGCAGCUACUACACAUGUUACUGGAAAAUCCAA